rnacentral:rRNA from 1 species
CCUACGGGAGGCAGCAGUGGGGAAUAUUGCACAAUGGGCGAAAGCCUGAUGCAGCGACGCCGCGUGAGGGAUGACGGCCUUCGGGUUGUAAACCUCUUUCAGUAGGGAAGAAGCGAAAGUGACGGUACCUGCAGAAGAAGCGCCGGCUAACUACGUGCCAGCAGCCGCGGUAAUACGUAGGGCGCAAGCGUUAUCCGGAAUUAUUGGGCGUAAAGAGCUCGUAGGCGGUUUGUCGCGUCUGCCGUGAAAGUCCGGGGCUCAACUCCGGAUCUGCGGUGGGUACGGGCAGACUAGAGUGAUGUAGGGGAGACUGGAAUUCCUGGUGUAGCGGUGAAAUGCGCAGAUAUCAGGAGGAACACCGAUGGCGAAGGCAGGUCUCUGGGCAUUAACUGACGCUGAGGAGCGAAAGCAUGGGGAGCGAACAGGAUUAGAUACCCUGGUAGUCCAUGCCGUAAACGUUGGGCACUAGGUGUGGGGGACAUUCCACGUUUUCCGCGCCGUAGCUAACGCAUUAAGUGCCCGCCUGGGAGUCGGCCGCAGGCUAAACUCAAAUUGAAUUGACGGCGNGNGAGNGCGAGGACGACGACGAGGGAGGAGG